GCGCGAAAACUUUACAAUGCGAGAAAUCGUGAUAAGGGAACCCCGAGUGCCCGUAAAUUCGGGCUGUCCGCCAGUGCAAAUAGCUGGUGAAGAAAGGGCCGGGCAAGACCGGUGCCAGCCGCCGCGGUAAUACCGGCGGCUCGAGUGGUGGCCACUAUUACUGGGCUUAAAGCGUCCGUAGCUUGAUUGUUAAGUCUCUUGGGAAAUCCACCGGCUCAACCGAUGGGCGUUCAGGAGAAACUGGCAAUCUAGGGACCGGGAGAGGUGAGAGGUACUCCAGGGGUAGGAGUGAAAUCCUGUAAUCCUUGGGGGACCACCUGUGGCGAAGGCGUCUCACUAGAACGGCUCCGACAGUGAGGGACGAAAGCUGGGGGAGCAAACCGGAUUAGAAACCCUUGU
rnacentral:rRNA from 1 species